GAUGAAGAACGUAGCAAAAUGCGAUAAGUAAUGUGAAUUGCAGAAUUCAGUGAAUCAUCGAAUCUUUGAACGCACAUUGCGCCCGCUGGUAUUCCGGCGGGCAUGCCUGUCCGAGCGUCAUUUCAACCCUCAAGCCCCCGGGCUUGGUGUUGGGGAUCGGCGAGCCUCCGCGCCCGCCGUCCCCUAAAUCUAGUGGCGGUCUCGCUGUAGCUUCCUCUGCGUAGUAGCACACCUCGCACUGGGAAACAGCGCGGCCACGCCGUUAAACCCCCAACUUCUGAACGUUUGACCUCGGAUCAGGUAGGAAUACCCGCUGAACUUAAGCAUAUCAAUAAGCGGAGGA
rnacentral:misc_RNA from 1 species